AAAUAAGAAAUAUAAAUAUAUAAUUAGUUUCGACCUAAUGUAUGAUGAUAAAAUUCAUCCUUAUUUA
rnacentral:tRNA from 1 species